rnacentral:SRP_RNA from 1 species
UGCAUGGGUCCCAAGCAAUGGAAGCCCAUGAAUUCCGUCAGAUUCGGAAGAAAGCAGCGGUAAGUGGUCACUUUCAUGUGACUUGGGGACGCCUGUGCGGAGC